AGCAGCCGCGGUAAUUCCAGCUCCAAUAGCGUAUAUUAAAGUUGUUGCAGUUAAAAAGCUCGUAGUUGAACUUCAGGCCUGGCUGGACGGUCCGCCUUCUGGGUGAGCACUGUCUGUGGUCGGGCCCUACUUCCUGGCGAAGCGGCAUGGCCUUCACCGGCUGUGGCGGGGAACCAGGACUUUUACUGUGAAAAAAUUAGAGUGUUCAAAGCAGGCACGCGCUUGAAUACAUUAGCAUGGAAUAAUGGAAUAGGACAAUGGUUCUAUUUGUUGGUUUCUAGGACCGUUGUA
rnacentral:rRNA from 1 species